AUUGAACGCUGGCGGCAGGCCUAACACAUGCAAGUCGAGCGGCAGCGGGUCCUUCGGGAUGCCGGCGAGCGGCGGACGGGUGAGUAAUGCCUAGGAAUCUGCCUGGUAGUGGGGGAUAACGUUCGGAAACGAACGCUAAUACCGCGUACGUCCUACGGGAGAAAGUGGGGGAUCUUCGGACCUCACGCUAUCAGAUGAGCCUAGGUCGGAUUAGCUAGUUGGUGGGGUAAAGGCCCACCAAGGCGACGAUCCGUAACUGGUCUGAGAGGAUGAUCAGUCACACUGGAACUGAGACACGGUCCAGACUCCUACGGGAGGCAGCAGUGGGGAAUAUUGGACAAUGGGCGAAAGCCUGAUCCAGCCAUGCCGCGUGUGUGAAGAAGGUCUUCGGAUUGUAAAGCACUUUAAGUUGGGAGGAAGGGCAGUAAGUUAAUACCUUGCUGUUUUGACGUUACCAAC
rnacentral:rRNA from 1 species